UUGAUUGUAUUGAUGCUUCUAACAGUGAGGAUGAUCUGAAGGGAGAAAAAAAUGGUAUGAAUUGGUGAUCUUUGAUGACUGAUGAUUCUGCAGUUUCAGCUAUUGUCGCUGACUGUGAAUAUUGCUUAAAAGUCAGCCAGUUCAGUUGAAAUGGUGUUGUAUGAGCUUCUCCUAAAAGGAGAAGUUAACUCAAUAAGAGGCUCAGGUUAAUGGCAACUCUUGGAUAAAAGCCUCUUUUAACACACCAUGAGUAACAGCAGCUGGUUAAAUCUGACUCACUGAUUAGAAACCAAAUUUUGCAGCAGAAAGCUGGUUAAUUGUCAGGCAAUGCAGUAAUCCGUGCUUUGCCAAUUGUGAUAUUGAGCUCAAUUUGAUCGGAUUGGUUAUAUAUUUAUAUUGAUACUUCUCAAUUCUCACAGUGAGGAUGAUAUGAAUGAAAACUUUGCUAGUAAGAAUUGGUAAUCUUGGACUGAUGAUUCUGCAGUUUCAGCUAUUGUUGACUGUAAAUACUGAUGUAGAAGUGUUAGCCAGUUCAACUGAAAUGGUGCUAUAUGAGUUUCUCAUGCAAGGUGAAGCUAACUCAACGAGAGGCUCAGGAUAAUGGCAAAUCUUGGAUAAACCUGAGUAACAGCAGCUGGCUAAUUUGACUGGCGCUAACCAGAAACCAAAUUUUGGAGCAGAAUCACUUGAUGCAAAUGUUGGCAGAGCCAUCAUGUUUGUAAACAGCAAGAGCAAGCUACAACAGAGCUCAGAAUAACAGUAACAAACAGCACUGCCUCCAUUUGGGGCAUGCACAAGUUCUCUAUUGACAGAGCCAUGUCAGAUAUAUACAAGCUGGCUUUGAUAUGCUUGAAGAUAGGACGCAUGUAACCACUAAAUAAGUUCUACAACACGACCAGGAGGUUUGUGUCUCCACAACGGUUCAGGCAUUUCCAAGAGCUUGAGUCUAAGCAUGGAAAUGGAGAACUUGGGGGCAUAGCUUAAUCAGAACAGAGCAUUGGCUGAAGGCCGUCGACGAAGCAGCGUUGCGAGUCAUUUUAUGUGGGAAUCAUAAAUACUGAAGAUGACAUCCGGAACAAUCAGAGGCAGCUUGUUUAUGUACAUGAACAGCCUUCUGAGGUUCUCUCUUGACACUGUCUCCAAGUCAACCACAUCUUGGUCCUCAACAUAGAUCCAUAAGUCACCAGGGUCAGUCUUCUUCAAGUUGUCACGGCAGAAUGGACAAGACUGUGAUCUUGAAUUCCUGCAAUAACACAAUCCUUUUGUUCAAGCAUUGUUUUUUGAACAGAUAUGUAUGGUAGCUGUAUGGCAACUCCAGAGUACAAGGACGUGAUCCAAGUUUUGCUAACCCAAAAGAUAUGCAUCGGUUGUAAGAAGCCAAGAAUAAAGAUAAAUCAUAUAGAU
rnacentral:sRNA from 1 species